AUAUAAGCACUACAACUAAACAAGAUUCUAUCUGUACUUUCUCCUUACAUUACAUAUAAUUCUCAUUAAUCAAUGCUAGUUUGCUCAUAAGUUUUUCAGACUUAAGCUACAAAAGCCGUUAUCCCCAAAAGCUUGGCAUACUGAUUGUCUCUUCCUUCCCUAAAAAGAAGCCCUCAACAUUUGCUGCAGCGAGGGAACUAAG
rnacentral:misc_RNA from 1 species